GGAAGAUCUCCUCUCAAACCUUUCCAGUUUGCCCAGAGUGCUCAUUUCCCAUCCCUUGGAAAACCUGAAGUGUGGUCUUUAGAGCCGACCAGAUGUGACAGGAUGGUCAGAGAUGCUCUGGGAGAUUUCAUGAGCUGCUCUAGGAACUCUCCAGCUGUUUCCUCCCUUUGGACUGACAGCAAACUACUGGAAAGCAUUGCCAGCAUCUCUGUGGCUCCUUCAAUCCCCAAAGAUCUUCACAAACCAGAGCUUGCCUCUAGGAAGUCAGCACAGCCCCAUGGCUGCAGGUCUGGAAAUGCCUAAAUUCAGUUUCUUGCUCUGCCAUAUUCUUUCCAUCAGACUCUGAGUAUUCAUCAUUAGUUCUCUUCAUUCCUUCAGUGAAUUGAAUUUAAUUAUGGAAGAGGUCAUGCAACUCACUUCACUUCCAAGAAACAGAUGCUGACAAAACCACAUGGGUCAGUGAAGAGAUUGUGAAUGCCAUUCACAUCCACACAGAGGAAACACACGGAAUGAAAAUGCAUCUCCCUGUUUUCUUCCAAUAUUUGUGCUCCAGGCUUGAGAUGGUUUAAGAGAUUAAGGACAGGAUAUGGAAGAUUUCAGCAGAGGGAAGCUUUUGAAAUCAGCUGUGGCUCUCAGCAAACGAAGAGGCUGCUGUAUGUUCAAUAAAACUGUGUGGGCAUCUCAGUCUAAUUUAUGGGCAUGCACAUGUAAGGCUGCUCCUUCAUGGCCCAACUGAUUGCAUUCAGCAAGAUCAGAGCAAAUUUCUCUAUAUAGUGGCAUCAAAAUUCGAACCAGGCUUUGAUUUAUGCCAUUGGAAAAUCACUCUACUCAUCCCUGUGCUGGACUAUUGGCCAGUG